rnacentral:misc_RNA from 1 species
GGCGUGGAGGGCGUUGCCGGGGGAGGCGUGGAGGGAGUUGCCGGCGGCGGCGGAGACGUGGAGGGGGUGGCGGGCGCUGGGGCGGGAGGUGAGGUGGUGGUGGAUGGGGGAGAGGCGGAGGGAGUCGCCGGAGAUGGGGCAGUAGGUGACAGUGGCGAUGGUGGCGAAGUCGGCCCCGGUGCGGCCACUGGAGUGGGCGAGGACAUCUCUC